GGAGCCCCAGUUCCCUCCCAAUGGUGUUGCAGUUUGUGCCAGGAGGGUUGGAAGAUGGAGCAAGCAGAGCACAGGUUGGAGAGGGCCGUGUCAUGUGCAGGGUACAGAAGACCAGCGAAACAGGCUCCACAUGCUCACUGGUAGGAGGCUGGCAGCGGGCAAGGAAAAUCGGCUCUUGCUCAGUUGAAGUCAAGCAGAAAUGACCCUGAAAAUCAGCAUCCUGCUCAGCAGCCUCUGCUACAAAUGCAGCAAAGCCGAAGGCUGCCUCACUCCAGUCCCACUUAGGCAAUUCUGCAGGAAGGUAACGGCACUGACUCCAGCAGAACGGCUCCAGAUUUAUAGCUGGCAGUGGCACUCGGCCCGUGGCGAAGACUGGCAUGUUUUAUACUCCCUCCACAUCGCUUCUAUUAAUCUGUUUAAUAUGCUGGCGGCGGCGAUGACAGCAGAGGCAAUAAAACCCUCGCGUGGCUGGUGUUUGUGCUCAGGUAUGGUGUCCGGAGCGGCACGCUGCAGCGAGGAGCUGCCAUCUCUGUACUCAGGGAGAUAAACUUCGUUCAGCAGGACGAGCUGACCAAGGAGGGUGCUGGGCUCCGUUGCCAAAAGCCCGAAGGCCACGUUGGGCCAAGAGCAGCAGUGGUUGGCGUUGCCUCAGGCAGGGUUUUGGGGCUGUGCGUGCCCCGUAAAGGGCACCGUAAAGUGCCCCGUAAAGCUGGGGGGCUUUAGGGGAUGAGGCAGGCCCCAGGGUGGCCGCAUCCUGCUUCUCAUGGCGAGCGUGGCCCUGCACAUCCCCUGCAUCGUGGGCAGCACGAAGCCACAGCUCGGUGGCAUUGUUCUUGUUCCCACCAUGCUGGAAGCAGGCGGAGAAGCUCUGGAUGAACCCCAGCCCAUAGGGAGACGUCGCGUCCCCACCUCCCUCUGUGCAUCAGCUGUAUGCAGCCCCUCCAAUCAUUACACUGAAUAGGGAGAAAAAUUAAGGGAGAAAAAACAGACAACUCCUGCUGCACGGUCCACUUAAAAAAAAUAUUUUUUUUGGCCACGUGGCCUCAGAGCAGCCUCCGCCGGUGGCUUCGUCCCUCACACCCAUGCCAGGGCCGCCAAGGCCGGAGGAAUGGCUGCGCCCCGUGCCGGCCCGGCGCUAAUUGGCCUGUUUGUUUGGCAAUAAGUGAUUCCUGCCUGGCGUGGGGCGGAUUGUUUUUCACACCAUUAAAUGAAGUUCUGAUGUAUUGAUCCCUGUUUUUCCAAUUUGAAGCCUGAAAAGUGAUGAAGACAUUUUCUUGUUUUCUCAUGUACUUUUCCCCCAGUUCAUUUAGGUGACCUGUCUUUAGUUCCUUGCUCUGCUCGCUGUAAUUGCUUCUUCAAAGUAAUGCUGCACUGUGAGCGCCGUACUGCAGCCCGGGUACGUUUUUAUGGAAGGAUGAAGGAAGGCGAGGUUGAAGUCAUCAACCAAUAUUAACUGUGGAAGGUUUGUCACAAAUGACAUCUCAAUAGCAGUGUGUCUGUGCCUGCUGCUGGAGCCUCAGUAAAACAGUGCCGAGGACGAGGGCAGGACCACGGGGCAGCUUUGUCUCUCCAGGCUGCUUAAUAUUUUGCUUAGGAGCUGGAAACACCGUGGAACAUUAUUUUUCCUUGGGUACAGAUAUCAUCAUUUGUGUUCUCUGUACCUUUGAGAAAAACUUAAAUACUUGGAUGUUUGCGUGAGGUUUUGCCAGGGGUCUGGUUUUGUUCGGCACUAACAUACAGAGGGAAUUUUUUCCAGGAGAGACCAAUAGAGCGGGUGCUGAGCUUACAGUUACUUGGCAAGUUUAAUUACAGAGGGAGCAGUGGUUGCUCCAAUGCAGCCUCACCUGUGGUGAAUUAAAGUAUGAGGUCUAGCCUGAGUGCAUAUAUACAGGGAAGCUCUUGGUGACUUCAGCAGACUCCAGACAUGCAGCCUUUACUGACAGCAGUCAGCCCAAGUCCAGCGGAGCCUGGGGAGAUGAAGCAAAGCUGGGAUUUUUGCCCAUGUGGCCAAGCUCUGAAACGGGCAGGGAGUCCUGAGACCCCCCAAUGCACCAGGAGCUUUCUGCUCACUAUUGUUUUGAGCUGAGGGGUCGGCAGCGUGGAGUCGAUCCUGAGCCUGGAAUUCAUCCCGGCAAGAGCAGGGUCCGGAGCCCACGGGCACCCUGGGUGCAGGAGGACAGCUGUGCUCGGGGCCUCCGCAAAGUCCAGGUGACAGAACCCAUCUCGAUGUGCACUUAUUAGGGAGAUGAUUAAUCUAUUUGUUUUGCAUUGCUGCUGUUAUUAUUAUGCGCAUAAGCCUGAAUUAUGUAAGAACUUUCCUGCAGAAAUUGUGUUUGCUGGCUGCAAGCACAAAAUAAAGAAGAAAAUUCUUUCCCUUAAAUAUUUCUAGCUAUAUGGAUAGAGAGUGCUGGGCUUCUGGGGGCAGGAUCUCUCCUUUGUGCUCUUGGCAUCUACUGUCAUGAGGUCCCUGCUCCUAACCAGCCUUGCAAAGUGUUGUUACAAUACCAAAUGAUCUAUAAAAUAGACAAGAGAUAGGGAAAGGAAUGCAGUAGGAAAGGAAACUUUUGUCAAUAUAUUAUUCCAAGAAUAGCAAAAAAAAUCCAUUGUGCAGUUUGAGAACAUGGUGCCACGCAGACAUGCGAGGGCAAAUCUUGGAAAUAAUGUCCCUUGGAUCUGAAUGACAUGGUGCAUUUCAGAAAGGUAACUGCACUAGGCAUAGUAAGUAGCAGAAAAUACAUGGACAAGGAGGAUUUCGUAAUUUCUUUCUCUUCCCUCCAAUUGUAAAAUCCUUAGAAAGAGGGUAAAAAUUAGGAAAUGGGGUAACUUGUAGAAAUAAGUGAUCUGUUCAUCACCUACACAAUGAGAGUUUUUUUAUUUUAUUUUUUAUUGUAAACUACCUUAUGACAAUUGGUGAUAAAACAGCUGAGCCUUUCAAAAAUCCAUUUUAAUAAAACACCGUAUGACCUCAUAGAUAUGCAUAGGAUUUAGAAAUAACAUGGAUUUUAAUGAAGGUACUUGAAAGGUAUGGUGCCAUAUUGCAAUUUUAUGGAAGAUCUUAGAUUAAUGAAAUUAAACGUGAACUGCAUUGUUUAGAUGAUGAACUUAAGGUCAUAUCUGCAGCAUUUGAAAGAGAAACCUUGAGUGGAGGGUGUAGAAUCAUUGAUUUAGACCCUGGUAGACAGCUGAAUAGCAAGCAUUGAAGCAUGAAGGUAAAUUCCCAUAUUUCAUUGUUAGAAGGUUAGCUGGUGGCUGCCAGCUUUUCAGUGAUAAUCACCAACCAAUUCCACCCUGUUUCAAAAAAGAUUUUGCCUUUGUGUGCUAAGACACUUUUAAAAACCAUUACUGUUCAAAGCAGGGGCACAGUGUUUAAAGAGAAGCUAUUUCUGCAAAAUAUAGGAUAGCAAUGAGUUGAUGCUGUCCUUGGAUAGCGAUGCUAUUAAGUUCAUUAGGAUCAUCAUCCAUUUAAAAUGCUUAUAAGGAGAAUUUAGACUGUUUGCUGUAGACGCCAAAGGCACCUCCUACUGCAAGUCAUAACUACAUGUCACCAGUAAUUAGCUCUUUUCCUUCCUUAGGAUGGCUUAUAAGACAAUGGCCCUUUCAGGUUUAAGUACCAUUUUCCUCCCCAGACACACACACACAUAUGCACACACACACAGAGGGGAUGAAUGCAUGCACGUGCACAUGUGUUAAACUAAUAGACAUGAAUUUGUACAACAGGAAAAUUGCAAGGAAUGAAAUCCUCAGGCCUUAAGAAUAAGUGAUAAUGGAAUGAUACUGCCAAUUACUGCUUGAGAACAGUGUUGUCACAGGGAACAGCUCAUGGAGAUGGAAGGAUGAGGGGAGGAGAAAAGGUUCCCUUUUGACAGUUUGCUGUUAAAGGGAAUUUGUCAAGGAUGUUAAAAUUAGAUCUAACUGGGCCAGAUCCUCGGAUGACAUAAAUCAGCCUGUAGACUUCAAAUCACGAGCUGGCCACAUAUUCCUCUUUGUUCUUCCUUCAUCUUUAUUAUCUGCAUCAUAACACUGCCUGUGAGCUGCCAUGAUGCUUUGAGCUCCAUUGUCUUAGUGCUGUACAAACGCAGUAAGAGAAGGUACUUCCCUGCUUUCACCUGCUCUGGGUAGUGCCUUUUAUUACUUAUAACAUCCACAGGUUUUACAAAUCCUACGUAAUUGCGGGAGAUGGGGACCUCGUCUAGACUAGGGUUUGGGCUGUGAUGUUAGUAUCUGUUAGAUCUGUAUGAACUGACCCGUUUUCAGCAUGGGCAAGACGAGCUGCUUUCCACAAUGGCAAAGUGAUGGAGUUGCCUUUAAUGAGUGCUGUUGCAUACCGGAGUGAGAAUACUGAGGUGGGAACCUAUCAUCCUGCACCCAGCCCUGCUGAUCGCAAUACGGCAGCGCUCAGAGGCAGUGUUUAGCUUCAGGAUCAGCCAUGUACCUCUCAUGGGCAGAUGAGAGGGCAAACCCAAAGAGGAUCCUCUCAGAUGGGAAAAGACCCUGCAGUUCCAUGUACAAUCUCUUCCAGUCUGAAUUUUUGGCAUGCUGAGCUAAACUCUGCCACAUCAUGAAAACUGUCUGAAAGCUGCCAGUAAGGAAAUUAGGCAAGAAAUAGUGUUAGAUAAUGGUCGUAAAUGCAUUAUGAUCAUUCCUUUCAUUAGAAACUUCCUUGUUUUCUCCCUGACGUACACCAGGAAACAGCUUGCAUGUGAUUUAUUUGUGUGUGUUUGGGGAGGAGAGGCAAAGGGAAUAAAGCCUAAGCCAUUAGGUGUUUAAAAAGGCAGUUGGGAGAUUUAGGGACACGAUGCUUAUUAAAAUAAAUAGAAGCUGUGUGUCUAAGUCCCCUGGUCAUCCUUGAAAAUCAUGUCCCUCAUAUUUAUCUGGCAGUCAAUUCCGAAUAGAGCACUGCCUAUUGCAUCUCCAGCGUGCACCUCAGUGCA